UACGGAGGGUGCAAACGUUGCUCGGAAUCAUUGGGCGUAAAGCGCGCGUAGGCGGUCCAGCAAGUCGGGUGUGAAAGCCCUCGGCUUAACCGAGGAAGUGCAUUCGAAACUACUAGACUUGAAUACUGGAGAGGAUCGCGGAAUUCCCGGUGUAGAGGUGAAAUUCGUAGAUAUCGGGAGGAACACCAGUGGCGAAGGCGGCGAUCUGGACAGAUAUUGACGCUGAGGCGCGAAAGCUAGGGGAGCGAACGGG
rnacentral:rRNA from 1 species